AAAUUGAAGAGUUUGAUCAUGGCUCAGAUUGAACGCUGGCGGCAGGCCUAACACAUGCAAGUCGAACGGUAACAGGAAGCAGCUUGCUGCUUUGCUGACGAGUGGCGGACGGGUGAGUAAUGUCUGGGAAACUGCCUGAUGGAGGGGGAUAACUACUGGAAACGGUGGCUAAUACCGCAUAACGUCGCAAGACCAAAGAGGGGGACCUUCGGGCCUCUUGCCAUCAGAUGUGCCCAGAUGGGAUUAGCUUGUUGGUGAGGUAACGGCUCACCAAGGCGACGAUCCCUAGCUGGUCUGAGAGGAUGACCAGCCACACUGGAACUGAGACACGGUCCAGACUCCUACGGGAGGCAGCAGUGGGGAAUAUUGCACAAUGGGCGCAAGCCUGAUGCAGCCAUGCCGCGUGUAUGAAGAAGGCCUUCGGGUUGUAAAGUACUUUCAGCGGGGAGGAAGGUGUUGUGGUUAAUAACCACAGCAAUUGACGUUACCCGCAGAAGAA
rnacentral:rRNA from 2 species